AAUGAACGCUGGCGGCGUGCUUAACACAUGCAAGUCGAGCGAUGAAGUUUCCUUCGGGAAACGGAUUAGCGGCGGACGGGUGAGUAACACGUGGGUAACCUGCCUCAUAGAGUGGAAUAGCCUUCCGAAAGGAAGAUUAAUACCGCAUAAUGUUGAAAGAUGGCAUAAUCAUUCAACCAAAGGAGCAAUCCGCUAUGAGAUGGACCCGCGGCGCAUUAGCUAGUUGGUGGGGUAACGACCUACCAAGGCGACGAUGCGUAGCCGACCUGAGAGGGUGGUCGGCAACAUUGGGACUGAGACACGGCCCAGACUCCUACGGGAGGCAGCAGUGGGGAAUAUUGCACAAUGGGGGAAACCCUGAUGCAGCAACGCCGCGUGAGUGAUGAAGGUUUUCGGAUCGUAAAGCUCUGUCUUUGGGGAAGAUAAUGACGGUACCCAAGGAGGAAGCCACGGCUAACUACGUGCCAGCAGCCGCCGUAAGAC
rnacentral:rRNA from 1 species